CACAUGGGAGACAAAGAGGGAGAUGGAAAGAAUACCUGUGUUUAUCCUGAGUCCUUUAAGCACAGGUCAGACCAUGCCUGCUGACCGGUCCAUCUCUUCCCUUAGAAGAAAAUGCAUCUAUAUGUAAUUUUUGAAAGAUACUGUUGUGGGUUGAAUUGAAUCCCCCAAAAAGAUAUGUCAAAAUCCUAACCUCGGAAUAUGACCUUAUUUGAAAGAAGGGUUGCUGCAGAUGUAAUUGAUUAAUACGAGGUCCAACUGGAGUAGGGUGAACCCUUAAUUCAACGACUGGUGCCCUUACAAGAAGAGAGGAGACACAGACACAAAAACACAAAGGAAGAAAACAGUCGUGUGACGAUGGAGGCAGAAAUUGGAGUGAUGCAUCUAGAAGCCAAGGAACACUGAAGACUACUGGAAAAUACCAGAAUCUAGAAGGAAAGACUCUCUCCCACAAGAUUCAGGAGGAGUGUGGCCCUGCCAAACCUUGAUUUUGGACUCGUAACCUCCAGAAAUGGGAGAAAAUAACUUUCUGUUGUUUUAAGCUACUCAGUUUGUGGUACUCUGUUAUGGCAGCCACAAUAAACUAAUGUAUACACUAACUACAUCAGUACACAAAAAAUGGGGAGAAAAGUGUGACAAAGAGAUGGGCAUGUGUAACCUUCAGAAAGAUGGACCUUAAAUAUGGGCAAAGCUCUUGGUAGAAACUUUGAGGCUUUCUAGGAACCUUUGCUUUUUGCUUUUGUAUUACUAGGGUUUAAGACACAUUCAGUUUUGAGGAUAAACUUAUAGUUUCUGGAUAUUCCUUGCUGACCAUUCAGGCAUCUAAUUCACCCCCACAUAUGUACCUAACUUAAACUAGAAAUACUAAGAAUAGAAAUAGCACAUCUUCUCUUUGAUUAAUACCUACACCGAAUGCCUAGCAGAGGGCUCUCCCCAGCCAGGACUUCAUUGUAGAUAUGGCACUGUUACUGGUGCUGCUGUUGUGAUGGUUCAAGCUUAUUCUGGAAAAUGUUUCUAAGUUUCUCCCAGCAGAAAAGAUGUAUUACUUAUUUAUUGUUUUAAUAAUAAGAUGCAAGCAAAUCUGGGUGGACUUUAACAUGGAAAGAGACAUUAUCUGGCCAGGAUUGUUAUGAAAGAGAAUCAUCCUAGAGGUCCUCCUUUUGGGCCGAGAUGGACUCUAUGCCCUUGCUAAUGUAACUUUCUACUUUAUAGCAUAUGAUUCAGUAUUUUUCUUCUAAGGUAUGGAAUAAGGCA
rnacentral:lncRNA from 1 species